CAGCAGAAGAGAAGGACUGGAAAACUGCUU
rnacentral:piRNA from 1 species